GAAUAAUAGUUCGGACGCGGUGCGGCACACAGCCGCCUAACAGGGAAGACCGGUGAAAAUCCGGCGCAGUCUUACCUCUACUGUAAGCGCAGACGAGAGUGUCAGUCCAUUGGCGAGGAAGCCGAGAAGGGACGCUGGAGGAUGAAGCGCAAGCCAGGAGACCUGCCGCAGUUCGGUACGUACU
rnacentral:ncRNA from 2 species